rnacentral:rRNA from 1 species
CGGGGAAUUUUGGACAAUGGGCGAAAGCCUGAUCCAGCAAUGCCGCGUGUGUGAAGAAGGCCUUCGGGUUGUAAAGCACUUUUGUCCGGAAAGAAAUCCUUGGCUCUAAUACAGUCGGGGGAUGACGGUACCGGAAGAAUAAGCACCGGCUAACUACGUGCCAGCAGCCGCGGUAAUACGUAGGGUGCAAGCGUUAAUCGGAAUUACUGGGCGUAAAGCGUGCGCAGGCGGUUUGCUAAGACCGAUGUGAAAUCCCCGGGCUCAACCUGGGAACUGCAUUGGUGACUGGCAGGCUAGAGUAUGGCAGAGGGGGGUAGAAUUCCACGUGUAGCAGUGAAAUGCGUAGAGAUGUGGAGGAAUACCGAUGGCGAAGGCAGCCCCCUGGGCCAAUACUGACGCUCAUGCACGAAAGCGUGGGGAGCAAACAGGAUUAGAUACCCUGGUAGUCCACGCCCUAAACGAUGUCAACUAGUUGUUGGGGAUUCAUUUCCUAGUAACGUAGCUAACGCGUGAAGUUGACCGCCUGGGGAGUACGUCGCAAGAUUAAAACUCAAAGGAAUUGACGGGGUC